UGAUGAGAUAUCAAAAUUUUCAAUCACAAUUUCACAAUUCCUUGGGCACAAAGUAGAAUAAAUAGGCUUAUUUACACAAUGGAUAAGUUAUAGAGGAAAAUAUCUAAUUCCUAUUAAGCCAGCGGGUUAGUAGUGAAAAGCAGGCUGAGGCUAAAUAAAAGCGAGACUUUUGGCAUACAUCUUUUCAUUCUGAUGUUUUUGGCGUAAGAUUAGUUGGUUCAGUUUGCAGUUGGAAUUUGGAACCGUCCUGAGAGUAAAAUCAGUGGGUUGUUGGCUAAAAAUUGUAGAUUUGCAUUUGCCAUUUAUCCCUCCUGUCGUUGGAGCAAAGUGGAACCUCCGGUACCGAAGCAUACAUACGAACAAGUCUGACUGACUCCCAUUUGAGGUGUUGCAGCUCAAGAAUCCGGGAGAGGAGGACAGGAAAACGUGCAACAUAAUGUGGCAUGGCCGUCGUCGUGUAGCAGGAGUAACAAGAAGCAAAUAGAGAUUUUUUAUGUGGAUGUACAUGGGGUUCAAACCACGAUGUCUGACUCUGGGAUCGAAUUGAAUGCCAAAUCACUGUCAACCAACACUAACCACUCGAAUAUUAUGUCAAGAAAGUUGACAAUAUUUACCGACUCUCAGUAACCAAGCCCUUGUUGCAAAUUUGCCAGAAUACUUGAGCAUAAAUGAAAAUUGCCGGAUUAUUAGAAGGUUGAAAACGAUUCAGCCUUUUAUUAUCAACUUUGAUGACGACCCCUCCAAUUAAUUUUAAAUCGUCCUGUCUCGCAAUUAUUUCUAGUUUACUUUUCUAAUUACCUUUUGUGAACAUGAAACAGAAAUAGAUCCAGUCCGACUGCCAAUAAAACAGUUGUGCGUUGUAUAUUUUUAUACGCUUAUCUCAAUGUAAUUCAACUUAAUUUGCCUCUCGUAAUACUGUAACAAACCUUGAAUAUCAAGCGAUAUGGAAAAAAUCGUAACUUUAUUUUCGUAGGAAUUAAAGUUUUCGCUCAAGUACAAAAAUGA